rnacentral:rRNA from 1 species
GACGAACGCUGGCGGCGUGCUUAACACAUGCAAGUCGAACGGAAAGGCCCUGCUUUUGUGGGGUGCUCGAGUGGCGAACGGGUGAGUAACACGUGAGUAACCUGCCCUUGACUUUGGGAUAACUUCAGGAAACUGGGGCUAAUACCGGAUAGGAGCUCCUGCUCCAUGGGGGGGGUUGGAAAGUUUCGGCGGUUGGGGAUGGACUCGCGGCUUAUCAGCUUGUUGGUGGGGUAGUGGCUGACCAAGGCUUUGACGGGUAGCCGGCCUGAGAGGGUGACCGGCCACAAUGGGACUGCGAUACGGCCCAGACUCCUACGGGAGGCAGCAGUGGGGAAUAUGGCACAAUGGGCGGAAGCCUGAUGCAGCAACGCCGCGUGCGGGAUGACGUCCUUCGGGUUGUAAACCGCUUUCGCCUGUGACGAAGCGUGAGUGACGGUAAUGGGUAAAGAAGCACCGGCUAACUACGUG